GUAAUGUCUGGGAAACUGCCUGAUGGAGGGGGAUAACUACUGGAAACGGUAGCUAAUACCGCAUAAUGCCGCAAGACCAAAGUGGGGGACCUUCGGGCCUCAUGCCAUCAGAUGUGCCCAGAUGGGAUUAGCUAGUAGGUGGGGUAAUGGCUCACCUAGGCGACGAUCCCUAGCUGGUCUGAGAGGAUGACCAGCCACACUGGAACUGAGACACGGUCCAGACUCCUACGGGAGGCAGCAGUGGGGA
rnacentral:rRNA from 1 species